GCGCCAGACUCCUACGGGAGGCAGCAGUGGGGGAUAUUGCACAAUGGGGGGAACCCUGAUGCAGCGACGCCGCGUGGGUGAAGGAGUAUUUCGGCAUGUAAAGCCCUAUCGGCAGGGAAGAAGCAAGACGGUACCUGACUAAGAAGCCCCGGCUAACUACGUGCCAGCAGCCGCGGUAAUACGUAGGGGGCAAGCGUUAUCCGGAUUCACUGGGUGUAAAGGGAGCGUAGACGGCGACGCAAGUCUGGAGUGAAAGCCCACGGCCCAACCGUGGGACUGCUCUGGAAACUGUGCGGCUUGAGUGCGGGAGGGGCAGGCGGAAUUCCUAGUGUAGCGGUGAAAUGCGUAGAUAUUAGGAGGAACACCGGCGGCGAAGGCGGCCUGCUGGACCGUAACUGACGUUGAGGCUCGAGAGCGUGGGGAGCAAACAGGAUUAGAUACCCGAGUA
rnacentral:rRNA from 1 species